rnacentral:rRNA from 1 species
AAGUCGUAACAAGGUCUCCGUUGGUGAACCAGCGGAGGGAUCAUUACUGAGUACUACACUCUCUACCCUUUGUGAACUAUUAUACCUGUUGCUUCGGCGGCGCCCGCAAGGGUGCCCGCCGGUCUCAUCAGAAUCUCUGUUUUCGAACCCGACGAUACUUCUGAGUGUUCUUAGCGAACUGUCAAAACUUUUAACAACGGAUCUCUUGGCUCCAGCAUCGAUGAAGAACUCAGCGAAACGCGAUAUGUAAUGUGAAUUGCAGAAUUCAGUGAAUCAUCGAAUCUUUGAACGCACAUGGCGCCUUCCAGUAUCCUGGGAGGCAUGCCUGUCCGAGCGUCGUUUCAACCCUCGAGCCCCUGUGGCCCGGCGUUGGGGAUCUGCCACGGCAGGCCCCUAAAACCAGUGGCGGACCCGAAGGGCCCUCUCCUUUGCGCAGUAGCAUUCGCCUCGCAUCGGGAGUCCUCGGCGUCCUGCCUCUAAACCCCCCACAAGCCCGCUUCGGCGGCACCAAGGUUGACCUCGGAUCAGGUAGGAAUACCCGCUGAACUUAA